rnacentral:lncRNA from 1 species
AGACGUCUUCUCCUUCUCCCUUUGAUUCCGAUCAAAAUUUCACGGUGGGUGUCUGCCGUCGCUAACGGUGCCAUUCGUUAACGGUAGAUUGCUCUAUAGAGUUAUAUAGAGAGAAGGAAUUUGAGUUUCUCAUUUUCAUCGGUGGAUGUAAAGAUGGUCAACCCUAAACGCAUGUGAAGAAUCUGAUGCCUUGUAUCGAUCUUCAAGCAAUCUCGGAUUGAUAAAACUGAGAUCUCAGUGGAAAGGCCGUAGCUUUAAGGGAGGAGGAGCUGAUGGUUCUGAUCUGCGAAUCAACA